rnacentral:rRNA from 1 species
CAGGGAUUGCCCUAGUAACGGCGAGUGAAGCGGCAAAAGCUCAGAUUUGAAAUCUGGUGUCAUUUUGGCAUCCGAGUUGUAAUCUGUAGAGGAGUAUUCGAGUUUGGCAUUGGCUAAAGUUCCUUGGAAGAGGGCGUCAGAGAGGGUGAGAACCCCGUGUUAAGCCUUUGCCUUUUCUCAUGUGAAUCUCCUUCAACGAGUCGAGUUGUUUGGGAAUGCAGCUCUAAAUGGGUGGUAAAUUCCAUCUAAAGCUAAAUACUGGCAAGAGACCGAUAGCGCACAAGUAGAGUGAUCGAAAGAUGAAAAGAACUCUGGACAGAGAGUUAAAUAGUACGUGAAAUUGUUGAAAGGGAAGCACUUGCUACCAGACACACUUGCAGCUAAUCAGCCUUCAUUUUUGGAGGUGCACUUGGUUGUAUGUGGGUCAGCAUCAGUUAUAGCGGAGGGAUAAAGACCUAAGGAAUGUGGCUCCUCUCGAGGAGUGUUAUAGUCUUGGGUGUAAUACUUUCAGUUGUGACUGAGGAUCGCGCCUUUUGGUGAGGAUGCUGGCAUAAU